CAUACAUUACAUAGAUAAGUGCACAUAAUAAUAAAAGCACUUGAAAAUAAUUUUCAAAAGUAAUAAUUUACCAAAAACAGAGCUUUUCAUUUAUACGUCUAGUCAAAAAAAAAUCAUUGAAAAUUUAUGAGCCAGCCAGUUACUUGAAGCUUUAAAUUUUUAAGAAAGAUUUAGUUAAAAAUGAACGGACAACGAAAUGAAAACUCCCACGGCGUUUUGAUUUAACCAAAAUCAAAAUAUUUGGCCAAUCAUUGUGUUAAGACCUUAAGAAUGAGAAAGAGAAAUGGAUAAAAAAUCCUCUGGGCUGAAAUACAAAGAACAGCCAAAAGUCAAAGCAGAAAAACGCAAAAACAAGCAUAAAAGACAUAAAAUAAAAAAUUAAAAAAUUCAAUGAAAUGUCAGCACAAAACAUGUCUGUGAGAUGGUGUCCCGUUUACAAAAAUAAACGAAGAAGUGUAGAAAACAAUAAAUUAAAAUCGAAUAAAAUGUGAAAUAAUGUUCAUGACAGACAUAAGUGGGAGUACGACAAUUGUUGCUCCGUGCCAUUGUUGUUCUUGCCGUUGGUGUAGCUGCCUGAAGCACAGUCAAUGGCCUACUGCUGAUUAGUACAAGAAACAUGGGGACACACCCACGAACGAACUUGCGACAAUUGUCGAUUGCGUAUACUUCACGUAAGCCGCAUGGCGAAAAGGCACCAGAACUUCAUCAUUCACUUUCCAGCUGCCAGUUACUAUGACAUUUGGCAUUUCUGGCUCCAGCAAUGAUUUCAAGACAUAAAAAACUUAAACAAGAAACUCUUUUAAGAAUAAUUUAAAUGACUAAAAAAAUAAUAAAUCAAAAUUUCAUGAUAAGAAGCCGAAAAGAUGAAGACGUAAAACAUUUUAUAAGCUACAAGAAAGCAUUCGCAGCAGCCUUCGUUGCUUAACUGUUGGCAGUUACAGGCCAACUGACAGCUAGCUGAACACAACAGAGACUUUGGGACUAACAGUAAGACCUUUCCAGGAACAUGUUGGAAUUCGGCACACCGGAAUGGAACACAAGAACAGUAGAAAUAACAAAGUAAAUGCUCCCAAUUGCAUAAU